AAAUAUUAACUCACACCCACCAACGCCCGGGUACUACGAGCCCCAGCUUAAAACCCAAAGGACUUGACGGUGUCCCACCCACCUAGAGGAGCCUGUUCUAUAAUCGAUGAUCCCCGCUAAACCCAACCCCCCCUUGCAAUCAGCCUGUAUACCUCCGUCGUAAGCUUACCAUAUGAAUGUUCUCAGUAAGUCUAAUGGCUAUAAAACACCAAUACGUCAGGUCAAGGUGCAGCUCAUGGGGUGGUAAGCAAUGGGCUACAAUUUCUAAUCUAGAACAAACGAAACACUGUAUGAAACUCAGCUAUGAAGGCGGAUUUAGUAGUAAAAAGAAAGUAGCGUGUUCUUUUUAACUAGGCCCUGGGACGUGU
rnacentral:rRNA from 1 species